rnacentral:rRNA from 1 species
GAUGAACGCUGGCGGCGUGCCUAAUACAUGCAAGUCGAGCGAACGGACGAGAAGCUUGCUUUUCUGAUGUUAGCGGCGGACGGGUGAGUAACACGUGGAUAACCUACCUAUAAGACUGGGAUAACUUCGGGAAACCGGAUCUAAUACCGGAUAAUAUUUUGAACCGCAUGGUUCAAAAGUGAAAGACGGUCUUGCUGUCACUUAUAGAUGGAUCCGCGCUGCAUUAGCUAGUUGGUAAGGUAACGGCUUACCAAGGCAACGAUGCAUAGCCGACCUGAGAGGGUGAUAGGCCACACUGGAACUGAGACACGGUCCAGACUCCUACGGGAGGCAGCAGUAGGGAAUCUUACGCAAUGGGCGAAAGCCUGACGGAGCAACGCCGCGUGAGUGAUGAAGGUCUUCGGAUCGUAAAACUCUGUUAUUAGGGAAGAACAUAUGUGUAAGUAAAUGUGCACAUCUUGACGGUACCUAAUCAGAAAGCAACGGCUAACUACGUG